rnacentral:lncRNA from 1 species
GUGACGAUGCCACUUCUAAACAUAACUGGUAGACAAGGUAACAGUGGUGCAAAGACUAGGGGCUGUAGCAGCAGUGUCACUUGAUCCAGCAUCCUAGGUGCCUGUGCACUCUUCGUUACCCGUCGAUCGGCUUGGUGUGCUUCUCCUGUUUGUGGGUUGUGUGCCACGCACUUGAUUAAGCACCCCACAUUCUCCUACAGUGCAUCGUUGACCCUGGCUUUAGGUAGCGUUGUGUCCUCGGCUUGCCGUGCAUAAUCCAGGUACGCGUCGACUAUCCGAGCUCCUGCUCACCAUUGGUGUUUGCUCGAGUGUGGGUUCUCGUGUCGCCCAUAAAGGGCACGGGAUGUGGGAUCGAGAUAGUUCACAUAGCAACCCACAACAAGGCAAUGGAUGCCCAUCCAGACUGACAGGGAGCGGAGGUGGACACAAAAAGAUGGAUGUUGACUCCAUAGGAGUCUCCAUAGUACGCUCGUCCGUAAGAGCAGCAGGAGCAAGAAGAUCCUGGAUAUACUUGUCUUAACAAAUAAAGAAGCCUUCGAAGGUAGACUCAGGGAAGUAGCGAUGAGGACCAAGGUCAGAGAUAAGAAACUCACUAUGACGAGCCUUCACAAAGGCAAUGUACUUAAGAGUCGUGCAGUAUCAUGAGCACUCGCUGAAAAAUGAGUUGCAUUAACCAAAGAGACAACGCUCAAACUAGGCAUGACGGGUUUGCUUAAGACCAUAUAGAGAACGCCGAAGAUGACAAACCAUGACUGCUGGAAAAGAAUACCCAAGUGGUGGGUACGUGUAGGCAUUGUUGACAUCAAGGGUAGAGAGAGAGAUACUAUGUUGGCAAACUGAAGCCACAUCGAAAGUGUGCCAAAAGGGCUCAUCUGGGCCAUACAGGAGCAAAUGUCUCAUCGUAGUCAUGACUAUAUGUUCUCACCACUAGACGAGCUUUGUAAAGCUCUAGAGAAACAUCAUAGUCUCACCCUUGUGGGCCUAGUUACAGUGAUGAGACGAGCAAGAGGAGGAAGGGAAAUGAGAGUCGACUAGCCGACGAGGUGAAGAGCAUUUGAUGCCAUCACAUGCUGCCAUUGUGGAUGAAAAAAAUGUCAUGAUAAGAAGUCUUCUUGUGAAGAGCACCGCAAUAACUAACCAUAGCAGUCAAUAGGCAGAAGCGGGCGAGCUCGAAAGCCAUAAGUAGGCUGAUCUGGAGCUAUGUGUUGCCAACAGAAGAAGACAUAUUAGUCGAGGGAGAUGACUCAUUAGAAGAAUCCACAACACGCGAACAGUGAGUGUACAAAAGUCAAGGAAGACGAGCAAAAGAAGGAACAUGAAAAGAGAAACUGCCAAGAGAGCCUCGACUAUCGACUGGCAGGGAAGUUACCAGGAUAAGAGAACUGAGCAAGAGCACCCUGCUCAACAAGGAUUGAAUGCAACAUCUUGGAGGUUUAUUCUCCAGAAGAGUCAUCACGGAAUACAAGAAUAGGCGUAGAGAACUUGGUGUGAACCAUGGCAGCAAAACGCUUACACAGAUAAGACCUCACUACGAAAGGAGAUAACGUAUAUCCAGGUGUGUUGAGAGAAGUCAUCUAUAAAUAUAGUACUAGCGAUGACCUCCUUUCGAGGCGGAAGGAGGUGGACCCCAGACAUCAAAGUGAACAAGGUUGAAAGGGUUGUUGAGACAUCAAAGUAAACAAGGUUGAAAGGGUUGUUGAGACACUGUCUCGCUAUGAGCAUAAGGUAACUAUAGCUGUUUACCAAGCCGAGAACCCAGACAGUUUAGAGACAUCGUCGGAGACCGAUCCAAGAAGACCAUGUCAAACUAAGGAUGCGAGAUGAGAGCCACACAAGUGACCCCAGGCGACGAUGGCACUUCUAAGCAUAACUGGUAGACAAGGUAACAGAGGUGGAGAGACUAGCGGCUGUAGCAGCAGAGUCACGUGAUCCAGCAUCCUACGUGCAUGUGCGCUCUCCGUUACCCGCCGAUCCGGCUUGGUGUGCUUCUCGUGUUUGCGGGUUGUGUGCCACACUUGAUUAAGCACCCCACGUUCUCCUACAGUGCGCCCUUGACCCUGGCUUUAGGUAGCGCCGUGUCCUCGGCUUGCCGUGCAUAAUCCAGGUAUGCGCCAACUCUCCGAGCUCCUGCUCACCAUUGGUGUUGCUCGAGCGUGGGUUCUGGUGUCGCGCAUAAAGGGAACACGGGAUGUGUGAUUGUGACAGUUCACAUAGCAACCCGCGGCAAGGCAAAGGAUGCCCAUCCAACUGGCAGGGAGCGGAGGUGGACCCAAAAAGGUGGAUGUUGACUCCAUAGGAGUCUCAACAAUGUGCUUGUCAGUAAGAGGAGCAAGAAGAUCCUAGAUAUACUUCUCUUAGCAAAUAAAGAAGCCAUCAAAGGUAGACUCAGGGAAGUAGCGAUGAGGACCAAGGUCAGACAUAAGAAACUCACUGUGACGAGCCUUCACAAAGGCAAUGUACUUAAGAGUCGUGCAUGGUCAUGAGCACCCGUUGAAAAACGAGCCUUAUUAACCACAGAGACAACGCUCAAACCAGUCAUGAGGGGUUUGCUAAAGAUCAUAUAGAGAACGCCGAAGGCGAUAAACCAUGCCGACUGGAAAAGAAUACCCAAGUGGUGGCUACAUGUAGGCAUUGUUGACAUCAAGCUGAGAGAUAGAUAGAUAGAUAGAUAGAGAGAGAGAGCGAGCCUAUGUUGGCAAACAGAAGCACAUCGAAAAGUGUGCCAAAAGUGGUCAUCUGGGCCAUACAGGAGCAAAUGUCUCAUCGUAGUCAUGACUAUAUGUUCUCACCACUAGACGAGCUUUAUAAAGCUCUAGAGAAAUAUCAUAGUCUCACCCUUGUGGGCCUAGUUACAGUGAUGAGACGAGCAAGAGGAGGAAGGGAAAUGAGAUUCCACUAGCCGACGAGGUGAAGAGCAUUAUUGCGGUGGUCUUCUUGUGAAGAGCACCGCAAUAACUAACCAUAGCAGUCAAUAGGCAGAAGCGGACGAGCUCGAAAGCCAUAAGUAGGCUGAUCUGGAGCUAUGUGUUGCCAACAGAAGAAGACAUAGUAGUUGAGGGAGAUGACUCAUUAGAAGAAUCCACAACACGCGAACAAUGAGUGUAGUAAAGUCAAGGAAGAUGAGCAAAAGAAGGAACAUGCAAGACAAACUGCCAAGAGUGCCUCGACUAUCGACUGGCAGGGAAGUUACAUUGACAGUAAAAACAUGAACAUGAGAAUCUAGAUGUGGAAUACCCAAGUGGUGGCUGCACGUAAAACCCCUCACAAAAUUCACCAUUAAAAAAGACAUUCUUAACAUCAAGCCGAGACGAAGUGACGAAUAAAGGCCGCAACAAGAUGUGUGUGAACAAUUGUCGUAUGGCCCGCAUGAGCAAAAACUCUCAUCGUAAUUAGGACCAUGAUUCUACUGAAAGCCACGAGCCACAAGACGAGAUUUGUAAUGUUCAAGAGAACCAUCAGAGCGAGUCUUAACCUUGUAGACGCACCAAGUAAUGGGACGAACACGAGGAGGAAGGGACAUAAUAUCCGAUGUGCUGAUGUGCUCAACAGUAGCAAUAUCCUCUACCAUGGCAAGGCGCCAUUUGGUAUGAAUAACAUCAAGAUAAGAAGUCUGCUCAAGAAAGUAGCGCCAACGUUUCAUAGCCUAAGGCGGUCAACAGGCAAAAGUGUACGAGGUCGCAAGCCAUAAGAAGGCCGAGACGGAGAAAAUGUCACAUCAGUAGAUGCAUCCACAACACACGAACGACGUGUUUAAAAGUGAGGCAAAUGUGGAAGAAUACGAGCAAUAAUCCUCGAGAUAAGCUUAGGUUAUGGGGACAAGGAAGUCACCGGUGAUGAAGGUUUAGAAUCCCGUGAUAAGCGAAGCGAGGAAAUCAUAGGAGAUGAUGGUGCUGAAUCUGUAAUAAUUGGAGAAGCAGGAGCAGUACGAGGAAUGGAAUAGGGCUCAACGAUAGUGAUAGGAAUGUCGGGAAAAGUGAGAUAACACAUCCUCCACUAAAAAGGUCGGGGAUGAUGGCCACACGCAGCAGGGACGAGACUCACUAAAACUCAUACCGUGAGAAAUAGUCACCCGAUGACCAACCUGAUCCCAACAACAAUAUCUCUUAUGGUCAUUGUUGUAUCCUAUGAACACUCAACAUACUAAGUAGUAAGUUUGGUACAUUGACGAGAGGCAGUAAGGGCACAUCAAACACAACCAAACAAUUGAAGCGCUGAAUAAUCUGGAAACGAUCAAAUAGACUCUCGAAAGGAGAUGACCAUGGUGGAAGUGGAGACAAAUUCAACCCAAAAGUGUGGCGUAAGAGAGGCAGUGACCAUCCAAAAGUGUGGCGGAAGAGAGAGCAGUGACAUUGAACCUAUGAGCCGUCUCAAUAGUUGACGAUGCUUGCCCUCAGCCAUGCCAUUUUUGAGCAUGAGCACCAGGAUAAGAGAACUUAGCAAUGGCACCCUGCUCAACAAGGAUUGAGCGCAACAUCUUGGAGAUUUAUUCUCCACCGAGUCAUCACAGAAUACAAGAAUAGGCGUAGAGAGAUACUAUGUUGGCAAACAGAAGCCACAUCGAAAAGUGUGCCAAAAGUGGUCAUCCGGGGCCAUACAGGAGCAAAUGUCUCAUCGUAGUCAUGACUAUGUUCUCACCACUAGAUGAGCUUUGGAAAGCUCUAGAGAAACAUCAUAGCCUCACCCUUUGAUGUCAUCACAUGCUGCCAUUAUGGAUGAAAAAACGUCAUGAUAAGAAGUCGUCUUGCGAAGAGCACCACAAUAACUAACCAUAGCAGGUGAGCUCGAAAGCCAUAAGUAGGCUGAUCUGGAGCUAUGUGUUGCCAACAGAAGAAUACAUAGUAAUCGAGGGAGUUGACUCAUUAGAAGAAUCCACAACACGCGAACAGUGAGUGUAGUAAAGUCAAGGAAGACGAGCAAAAGAUGGAACAUGAAAAGAGAAACUGCCAAGAGUGCCUCGACUAUCGACAGGUAGGGAAGUUACCAGGAUAAGAGAACUGAGCAAGAGCACCGUGCUCAACAAGGAUUGAAUGCAACAUCUUGGAGAUUUAUUCUCCACCAGAGUCAUCACGGAAUACAAGAAUAGGCGUAGGGAACUUGUUCGUGUGCCUUGGCGUCAAAACGCUUACACAUAUAAGACCUCACUACGAAAGGAAAUAAAGUAUAUCCAGGUGUGUUGAGAGAAGUCAUCUAUAAAUAUAGUACUAGCGAUGACCUCCUUUCGAGGCGAAAGGAGGUGGGCCCCAGACAUUAGAGUGAACAAGGUUGAAAGGGUUGUUGAGACACUGUCUCGCUAUGAGCAUAAGGUAAGUAUAGCUGUUUACCAAGCCGACAACCCAGACAGUUUAGAGACAUCAUCCGAGACUGAUCCAAGAAGACCAUGUCAAACUAAGGAUGCGAGAUGAGAGCCACACAAGUGACCCCAGGCGACGAUGGCACUUCUAAGCAUAAAUGGUAGACAAGGUAACAGAGGUGGAGAGACUAGCGGCUGUAGCAGCAGAGUCACUUGAUCCAGCAUCCUACGUGCCUGUGCGCUCUCCGUUACCCGCCGAUCCGGCUUGGUGUGCUUCUCCUGUUUGCGGGUUGUGUGCCAGCACUUGAUUAAGCACCCCACGUUCUCCUACAGUGCGCCCUUGACCCUGGCUUUAGGUAGCGCCUUGUCCUCGGCUUGCCGUGCAUAAUCCAGGUAUGCGCCAACUGUCCGAGCUCCUGCUCACCAUUGGUGUUGCUCGAGCGUGGGUUCUGGUGUCGCCCAUAAAGGGAACACGGGAUGUGGGAUUGAGACAGUUCACAUAGCAACCCACAGCAAGGCAAAGGAUGCCCAUCCAACUGGCAGGGAGCGGAGGUGGACCCAAAAAGGUGGAUGUUGACUCGAAGGAGUCUCAACAGUACGCUUGUCAGUAAGAGGAGCAAGAAGAUCCUGGAUAUACUUCUCUUAGCAAAUAAAGAAGCCAUCAAAGGUAGACUCAGGGAAGUAGCGACGAGGACCAAGGUCAGACAUAAGAAACUCACUGUGACGAGCCUUCACAAAGGCAAUGUACUUAAGAGUCGUGCAGGAUCAUGAGCACCCGUUGAAAAACGAGCCUUAUUAACCACAGAGACAACACUCAAACCAGUCAUGAGGGGUUUGCUAAAGAGCAUAUAGAGAACGCCGAAGGCGACAAACCAUGCCGGCUGGAAAAGAAUACCCAAGUGGUGGUUACAUGUAGGAUUGUUGACAUCAAGCAGAGAGAGAGAGAGAGAGAGAUAGAUAGAGAGAGAGCCUAUGUUGGCAAACAGAAGCACAUCGAAAAGUGUGCCAACAGUGGUCAUCUGGGCCAUACAGGAGCAAAUGUCUCAUCGUAGUCAUGACUGUAUGUUCUCACCAGUAGACGAGCUUUGUAAAGCUCUAGAGAAACAUCAUAGUCUCACCCUUGUGGGUCUAGUUACAAGUAAUGAGACGAGCAAGAGGAGGAAGGGAAAUGAGAUUCCACUAGCCGACAAGGUGAAGAGCAUUUGAUGCCAUCACAUGCUGCCAUUGUGGAUGAAAAAAAUGUCAUGAUAAGAAGUCUUCUUGUGAAGACCACCGCAAUAACUAACCAUAGCAGUCAAUAGGCAGAAGCGGGCGAGCUCGAAAGCCAUAAGUAGGCUGAUCUGGAGCUAUGUGUUGCCAACAGAAGAAGACAUAGUAGUUGUGGGAGAUGACUCAUUAUAAGAAUCAACAACACGCGAACAAUGAGUGUAGUAAAGUCAAGGAAGAUGAGCAAAAGAAGGAACAUGCAAGACAAACUGCCAAGAGUGCCUCGACUAUCGACUGGCAGGGAAGUUACAUUGACAGUAAAAACAUGAACAUGAGAAUCUAGAUGUGGAAUACCCAAGUGGUGGCUGCACGUAAAACCCCUGACAAAAUUCACCAUUAAAAAAGUCUUUGUUAACAUCAAGCCGAGACGGAGUGACGAAUAAAGGCCGCAACAAGAUGUGUGUGAACAAUUGUCGUAUGGCCCGCAUAAGCUGAAACUCUCAUCGUAAUUAGGACCAUGAUUCUACUGAAAGCCACGAGCCACAAGACGAGCUUUGUAAUGUUCAAGAGAACCAUCAGAACUAGUCUUAACCUUGUAGACGCAUCAAGUAAUGGGACGAACACGAGGAGGAAGGGACACAAUAUCCGAUGUGCUGAUGUGCUCAACAGUAGCAAUAUCCUCUACCAUGGCAAGGCGCUAUUUGGUAUGAAUAACAUCAAGAUAAGAAGUCUGCUCAAGAAAGUGGCGCCAACGUUUCAUAGCCUAAGGCGGUCCACAGGCAAAAGUGGACGAGGUCGCAAGCCAUAAGAAGACCGAGACGGAGAAGAUGGCACAUCAGUAGAUGCAUCCACAACACAUGAACGACGUGUAUAAAAGUGAGGCAAAUGUGGAAGAAUACGAGCAAUAAUCCCCGAGAUAAGCUCAGGUUAGCGAGACAAGGAAGUCACCGAUGAUGAAGGUUUAGAAUCCCGUGAUAAGCGAAGUGAGGAAAUCACAGGAGAUGAUGGUGCUGAAUCUGUAAUAAUUGGAGAAGCAGGAGCAGUACGAGGAAUGGAAUAGGGCUCAACUAUAGUGAUAAGAAUGUCGGGAAAAGUGAGGUAACACAUCCUCCACUAAAAAGGUCGGGGAUGAUGGUCAUACGUAGCAGGGACGAGACUCACUAAAAGUCAUACCGUGAGAAAUAGUCACCCGAUGACCAACCUGAUCCCAACAACAAUAUCUCUUAUGCUCAUUGUUGUAUCCUAGGAACACUCAACAUACUAAGUAGUAAGUUUGGUACAUUGACGAGAGGCAGUAAGGGCACAUCAAACACAACCAAACAAUUGAAGCGCUGAAUAAUCUGGAAACGAUCAAAUAGACUCGGAAGGAGAUGACCAUGGUGGAAGUGGAGACGCAUUCAACCCAAAAGUGUGGCGUAAGAGAGGCAGUGACCAUCCAAAAGUGUGGCGGAAGAGAGAGCAGUGACAUUGAACCUAUGAGCCGUCUCAAUAGUUGACGAUGCUUGCCCUCAGCUAUGCCAUUUCUGAGCAUGAGCACCAGGAUAAGAGAACUGAGCAAGAGCACCCUGCUCAACAAGGAUUGAGCGCAACAUCUUGGAGAUUUAUUCUCCACCGAGUCAUCACAGUAUACAAGAAUAGGCGUAGAGAGAUACUAUGUUGGCAAACGGAAGCCACAUCGAAAAGUGUGGCAAAAGUGGUCAGCUGGGCCAUACAGGAGCAAAUGUCUCAUCGUAGUCAUGACUAUAUGUUCUCACCACUAGAUGAGCUUUGUAAAGCUCUAGAGAAACAUCAUAGCCUCACCCUUUGAUGUCAUCACAUGCUGCCAUUAUGGAUGAGAAAACGUCAUGAUAAGAAGUCGUCUUGCGAAGAGCACCACAAUAACUAACCAUAGCAGUCAAAAGGCAGUAGCAGGCGAGCUCGAAAGCCAUAGUUAGGCUGAUCUGGAGCUAUGUGUUGCCAACAGAAGAAUACAUAGUAAUCGAGGGAGUUGACUCAUUAGAAGAAUCCACAACACGCGAACAGUGAGUGUAGUAAAGUCAAGGAAGACGAGCAAAAGAAGGAACAUGAAAAGAGAAACUGCCAAGAGUGCCUCGACUAUCGACAGGUAGGGAAGUUACCAGGAUAGGAGAACUGAGCAAGAGCACCGUGCUCAACAAGGAUUGAAUGCAACAUCUUGGAGAUUUAUUCUCCACCGGAGUCAUCACGGAAUACAAGAAUAGGCGUAGGGAACUUGGUGUGUGCCAUGGCAUCAAAACGCUUACACAUAUAAGACCUCACUACGAAAGGAAAUAAAGUAUAUCCAGGUGUGUUGAGAGAAGUCAUCUAUAAAUAUAGUACUAGCGAUAACCUCCUUUCGAGGCGAAAGGAGGUGGGUCCCAGACAUCAAAGUGAACAAAGGUUGAAAGGGUUGUUGAGACACUGUCUCGCUAUGAGCAUAAGGUAAGUAUAGCUGUUUAACAAGCCGACAACCCGGACAGUUUGGAGACAUCAUCGGAGACUGAUCCAAGAAGACCAUGUCAAACUAAGGAUGCGAGAUGAGAGCCACACAAGUGACCCCAGGCGACGAUGGCACUUCUAAGCAUAACUGCUAGACAAGGUAACAGAGGUGGAGAGACUAGCGGCUGUAGCAGCAGAGUCACUUGAUCCAGCAUCCUACGUGCCUGUGCGCUCUCCGUUACCCGCCGAUCCGGCUUGGUGUGCUUCUCCUGUUUGCGGGUUGUGUGCCACGCACUUGAUUAAGCACCCCACGUUCUCCUACAGUGCGCCCUUGACCCUGGCUUUAGGUAGCGCCGUGUCCUCGGCUUGCCGUGCAUAAUCCAGGUAUGCGCCAACUGUCCGAGCUCCUGCUCACCAUCGGUGUUGCUCGAGCGUGGGUUCUGGUGUCGCCCAUAAAGGGAACACGGGAUGUGGGAUUGAGACAGUUCACAUAGCAACCCACAGCAAGGCAAAGGAUGCCCAUCCAACUGGCAGGGAGCGGAGGUGGACCCAAAAAGGUGGAUGUUGACUCCAAGGAGUCUCAACAGUACGCUUGUCAGUAAGAGGAGCAAGAAGAUCCUGGAUAUACUUCUCUUAGCAAAUAAAGAAGCCAUCAAAGGUAGACUCAGGGAAGUAGCGAUGAGGACCAAGGUCAGACAUAAGAAACUCACUGUGACGAGCAUUCACAAAGGCAAUGUACUUAAGAGUCGUGCAGGAUCAUGAGCACGCGUUGAAAAACGAGCCUUAUUAACCACAGAGACAACGCUCAAACCAGUCAUGAGGGGUUUGCUAAAGAGCAUAUAGAGAACGCCAAAGGCGACAAACCAUGCCGGCUGGAAAAGAAUACCCAAGUGGUGGCUACAUGUAGGAUUGUUGACAUCAAGCUGAGAGAGAGAGAGAGAGAUAGAUAGAUAGAGAGAGAGAGAGCCUAUGUUGGCAAACAGAAGCACAUCGAAAAGUGUUCCAAAAGUGGUCAUCUGGGCCAUACAGGAGCAAAUGUCUCAUCGUAGUCAUGACUAUGUUCUCACCACUAGACGUGGUUUGUAGAGCUCUAGAGUAACAUCAUAGUCUCACCCUUGUGGGCCUAGUUACAAGUAAUGAGACGAGCAAGAGGAGGAAGGGAAAUGAGAUUCCACCAGCCGGCGAGGUGAAGAGCAUUUGAUGCCAUCACAUGCUGCCAUUGUGGAUGAAAAAAAUGUCAUGAUAAGAAGUCUUCUUGUGAAGAGCACCGCAAUAACUAACCAUAGCAGUCAAUAGGCAGAAGCCGGCGAGCUCGAAAGCCAUAAGUAGGCUGAUCUGGAGCUAUGUGUUGCCAACAGAAGAAGACAUAGUAGUUGAGGGAGAUGACUCAUUAUAAGAAUCCACAACACGCGAACAAUGAGUGUAGUAAAGUCAAGGAAGAUGAGCCUAAGAAGGAACAUGCAAGACAAACUGCCAAGAGUACCUCGACUAUCGACUGGCAGGGAAGUUACAUUGACAGUAAAAACAUGAACAUGAGAAUCUAGAUGUGGAAUACGCAAGUGGUGGCUGCACGUAAAACCCCUGACAAAAUUCACCAUUAAAAAAGUCUUUGUUAACAUCAAGCCGAGACGGAGUGACGAAUAAAGGCCGCAACAAGAUGUGUGUGAACAAUUGUCGUAUGGCCCGCAUGAGCUGAAACUCUCAUCGUAAUUAGGACCAUGAUUCUACUAAAAGCCACGAGCCACAAGACGAGCUUUGUAAUGUUCAAGAGAACCAUCAGAGCGAGUCUUAACCUUGUUGACGCACCAAGUAAUGGGACGAACACGAGGAGGAAGGGACACAAUAUCCGAUGUGCUGAUGUGCUCAACAGUAGCAAUAUCCUCUACCAUGGCAAGGCGCCAUUUGGUAUGAAUAACAUCAAGAUAAGAAGUCUGCUCAAGAAAGUGGCGCCAACGUUUCAUAGCCUAAGGCGGUCCACAGGCAAAAGUGGACGAGGUCGCAAGCAAUAAGAAGGCCGAGACGGAGAAGAUGGCACAUCAGUAGAUGCAUCCACAACACAUGAACGACGUGUUUAAAAGUGAGGCAAAUGUGGAAGAAUACGAGCAAUAAUCCCCGAGAUAAGCUCAGGUUAUGGAGACAAGGAAGUCACCGGUGAUGAAGGUUUAGAAUCCCGUGAUAAGCGAAGUGAGGAAAUCAUAGGAGAUGAUGGUGCUGAAUCUGUAAUAAUUGGAGAAGCAGGAGCAGUACGAGGAAUGGAAUAGGGCUCAACGAUAGUGAUAAGAAUGUCGGGAAAAGUGAGGUAACACAUCCUCCACUAAAAAGGUCGGGGAUGAUGGUCACACGUAGCAGGGACGAGACUCACUAAAAGUCAUACCGUGAGAAAUAGUCACCCGAUGACCAACCUGAUCCCAACAACAAUAUCUCUUAUGCUCAUUGUUGUAUCCUAUGAACACUCAACAUACUAAGUAGUAAGUUUGGUACAUUGACGAGAGGCAGUAAGGGCACAUCAAACACAACCAAACAAUUGAAGCGCUGAAUAAUCUGGAAACGAUCAAAUAGACUCUUGAAAGGAGAUGACCAUGGUGGAAGUGGAGACGCAUUCAACCCAAAGGUGUGGCCUAAGAGAAGCAGUGACCAUCCAAAAGUGUGGCGGAAGAGAGAGCAGUGAAAUUGAACCUAUGAGCCGUCUCAAUAGUUGACGAUGCUUGCCCUCAGCCAUGCCAUUUCUGAGCAUGAGCACCAAGAUAAGAGAACUGAGCAAGAGCACCCUGCUCAACAAGGAUUGAGCGCAACAUCUUGGAGAUAUAUUCUCCAUCAAAGUCAUCACAGAAUACAAGAAUAGGCGGUGAGAGAUACUAUGUUGGCAAACAGAAGCCACAUCGAAAAGUGUGCCAAAAGUGGUCAUCUGGGCCAUACAGGAGCAAAUGUCUCAUCAUAGUCAUGGCUAUAUGUUCUCACCACUAGAUGAGCUUUGUAAAGCUCUAGAGAAACUUCAUAGUCUCACCCUUUCAUGUCAUCACAUGCUGCCAUUAUGGAUGAAAAAACGUCAUGAUAAGAAGUCGUCUUGCGAAGAGCACCACAAUAACUAACCAUAGCAGUCAAAAGGCAGUAGUAGGCGAGCUCGAAAGCCAUAAGUAGGCUGAUCUGGAGCUAUGUGUUGCCAACAGAAGAAUACAUAAUAAUCGAGGGAGUUGACUCAUUAGAAGAAUCCACAACACGGGAACUGUGAGUGUAGUAAAGUCAAGGAAGACGAGCAAAAGAAGGAACAUGAAAAGAGAAACUGCCAAGAGUGCAUCGACUAUCGACAGGUAGGGAAGUUACCAGGAUAAGAGAACUGAGCAAGAGCACCGUGCUCAACAAGGAUUCAAUGCAACAUCUUGGAGAUUUAUUCUCCACCAGAGUCAUCAUGGAAUACAAGAAUAGUCUUAGGGACCUUCCCCUGUGUGCCUUGGCAUCAAAACGCUUACACAUACAAGACCUCAGUACGAAAGGAAAUAAAGUAUAUCCAGGUGUGUUGAGAGAAGUCAUCUAUAAAUAUAGUAC